UCUCCUUUAGGCCAACCCACUGCUUCAGCCCAAAGAUUAUGGCUGAGUUGCCCGUAUCUCUCUAGAUGCCAGAGGCUCCUAACCUUGGCCCAAGAGGCCCCAGUCCAGGUGUUCCACUAGAUGAAGAACAUGUAUUAUUUUUAAUGAGAUAUUUCAGACAUACGAAAAAGUCCAGAGAAUAUACAGAACACCUGUGUACCCACCAAAAAACAAUACAAAAAUAAAGUAUUUUUCUUUAUUUCACAUUUCCCUCCUUCUCCUCCCAGAGGUAACUACUGUUUGGCUCUGGUCUUUAUUGUUCUUAAGCAUUUUUACUACAUAUAUUAGUAGACAAUAUAUAGUAUUCUUUUGCAAAGUUAAAAAAUUUUAUAUAAAUGCUAUCAUUCUCUAUGUAUCCUUCUGCAACUUGCUUUUUUCCCCUUCAACAUCAUAUUUGUGAGAUUUAUCCAGGUUAAUUCAUGUAAUGAGAUACAAUACUUGAAGAAGCAUCUCACUUUCUUCCUGUCUCUGGUCACUCUUGCUCUUGGGUCCACUAGAUUAAAAUGUACUGGCUCCAGUGAGCAGGCUGAACAUUUCUUCCUUUUAGUUCUAUGUGCCUCCCUUUACUAUAUAAAGGUUUAGUAGUGAAAAAUGUCUUCCUCCUCAGAAAUCUAAUUAUAUUCCCUAAGCGGAGACUAAGAAAAAGGGCUCAGGGGGAAUAAAAGUAAAGAUGUAACAAUAUUAUUUUAAAAAAUUUAUUAUUAUUAUUUUUGGCCAUGCUGCGCGUGGCUUGCGGGAUCUUAGUUACCCGACCAGGGAUUGAACCCAGGCCCACGGCAGUGGAAGUGUGGAGUCCUAACCACUGGACAGCCAGGGAAUUCCCAAGAUGUAACAAUCUUAAAAGAAAUAAGCUGCACUAGUCUAAGAAGAUGGGCUUAGUGCAAAUGGCUCCAAGUAGGGAAUGAAUCAAAAGUCCGAAGGAGCCCCUUAAGUCCAGGGGAUCUUGCCAAAGUUUUAUAAUUUGGUUUUUUUAAAAGUGUGACUGAAGAAACAUGGACAGAAUUCUUUGAAAAAUUAUGAUCUUUUUUCAACUAACUGCCACAGACUUAAUUUUAUGUCUAAGGGAGUUCACUUUUAUACUCAGCCUACCCAUUUGUCAGUAUUUUGUAACAUUACUUACUUGGCUAUAUUAUGUCUUCGAGUAGAGUUUUCCAGAGGGUUCAUGGGUGACAAAUCUCCUGAGCCUUGGGGUAUUUCUGAUGAUUUUAUAUUUCAACCAUAUAGGAUUCUUAGGUCACAAUUGUUUUCCUUCCAAAUUUUCUAAAUGUUGUUUCACUGUCUUCUGGCCUUAAAUGUUGUCACAGAAAAGUAUGAGGCCAGCCUGGUUUUCUCCCUUCUAUGUGCCUUGCUGUUUUUUUCUUUCAGUUCUAUGUGCCUUGAGAUUUUGCAAAAGUGGUGGUGUUUGCCAUUUCUCCUUUGGAUCGUCCAUGCCCCUAUUCCUUAUGUUGGUCAAAUCUUGGUGUUCUCUUUGGAUCUGACCUAAAUUUCAUUGUGUCUGGCAGAUAUUCUUUAGUCUGUGUAUGGGUACAUGGCAGUUAUCUAGUUUUAUUAUAGAUGAAGCUUCCUCUUCUGGUUUUGUUUGUUUUCAUUUUGGUGAGUUUGAAGUAGUAAAGUACUUACUUCAUGACUUUUUCUAGAAGUUGACAGGGCUCUUUUGACAGAUAGUCAGUUACAGUAGGAGGGCUUAAAUUAGGGAUCUCUAUUUUUCAUUCAGUAAAUACUUACAAGGUAUCUAGUAUAUAAAAAGUACAGUAUUAGGGGGACUUCCCUGGUGGCCCAGUGGUAAAGAAUCCGCCUUCCAAUGCAGGGGAUGCAGGUUCAAUCCCUGGUCGGGGAACUAAGAUCCCACAUGUCAUGGGGCAACUAGGCGCUCAUGCCUCAACUACUGAGCUCACACACCUCAAUGAGAGAGCCCACAUGCCGCAAACUACAGAGCCCACGUGCCCUGAAGCCCACACGCCACAACUAGAGAGAGAAAACCUGCGCUCCACAACUAGAGAGAGGCCUGCAUGCCGCCGUAGCUAGAAAGAGGCCCGUGCAUCGAGGCAAAGACAGAUCCUGUGUGCUGCAACUACGACCCAACACAGCCAAAAAAAGAAUACAGUAUUGGGAGUUAAGGGAUACAAAGAGUCUAUAUGAGGAGUAUUUCGAUAUUCAAGGAAUUUACAGUCUAGUUGAGGAAAAAAGAUGCAGUAAGUGUCACAUGAGCACAUGUAAAGUGAUGGGCGCACAGGGAACAGAGAGGUGGGAGAGAUAAUUUCUGGCUAGGAAAAUUCAAGAAAACUGCAUGAAGCAGUUAGAAUACAUAUUGGACCUUAGAAGUUGGGUAGGAUUUUUACAGGUAAAGAUCUCUAAAGAGAGGCAAUUCAGGCACAGUGAAUGUGAGGGAUAAAGGGAGUGGAAAAGUUAAGGGGCUCAGUGGGUAGGGCAGUGAGAUGAGUGUCGGUAAAGAGGACACUCAGGGUAACAAUGAGAAGCAGCAAUACUGUAUCUUGUUUGGCUUUGAGGGCUGUACUUGCUGCCUGCAGAAAGCAUAGAAAAUCCAGGUGAAAUCCUGGUUCCCCAGCCUGCCUGCAUACUAGACUGCUACCCUAGACUGCUGCUUGGGUCAUUCACCUUGGAAUAGAAGGAAAUGCAGGAGAUGUUAAUCAGGACCAGAGGACCAAAGAUGCAGAACACAGGAUUGACACUGAAGCCUCGACAAUGAAGUUUUCACUAUACUUUGGAUUGCUGAACAUCAUCUGUCAUAUAAAUUGGAAGUGGCAGAAAAUCAGAAAGACAGACAGGCUUCUCUGCAUAGUCUUGCCUACACCUUCCCCAAGGUGGUCCUAUUAGCAUCCUUUAAGCCCUGAGGAUCUUGGGUGGGUGUCCAAGCCACUAUCCAGAAAGUCUUGGCAGCUCACCAAUGCUGGCAGAGAAAAGCAGACUAAGAAUAUGAGAAACUCCUUUCUAGACAAAUUCAUGCUCCUACUGUGCCAUUCAGUCCAGAUGUAAUAGCAUCAGGGUAAUCAAGUCUCACAUGACUGCAAUUUAAUCACCUUUCCUAAAUUUACUAUAAGUAAUUAAACUAA